GGCGAAAGCGGUGCCAGGAGUAGGGUGAAGAGUGAGGGGGGAAGGGGUGGGCGGGUUUAUUGGGGUGAAAGGGCGGGGUGGCGGCUUUGCAAGGCCGUUGGGAAAACUCGAGGCUCAACCGCGAGACGCCGGGGGAAACUGCAAAGCUAGAGUCCGGAAGAGGAGAGUGGAAUUCCUGGUGUAGCGGUGAAAUGCGCAGAUAUCAGGAAGAACACCCGUGGCGAAGGCGGCUCUCUGGGACGGUACUGACGCUGAGACGCGAAAGCGUGGGGAGCGAACAGGAUUAGAUACCCGAGUAGC
rnacentral:rRNA from 1 species